rfam:Triticum aestivum genome assembly, contig: Triticum_aestivum_CS42_TGACv1_scaffold_434290_5DL
CAUCUACUCCCUCCGUCCGGAAUUACUUGUCGCAUAAAUGGAUGAAAAUGGAUGCUAGAAUUAAAAUACAUCUAGAUACAUUCAUUUCAACGACAAGUAUUUCCGGACGGAGGGAGUACUUG